UACGGAGGGUGCGAGCGUUGUCCGGAAUCACUGGGCGUAAAGGGCGCGUAGGUGGCGCGGGCAGUCAACGGUGAAAGUUCGGGGCUCAACCCUGAAUCGGCCGUCGAUACUCCCGGGCUGGAGCACUGUAGAGGCUAAUGGAAUUCCGGGUGUAGCGGUGGAAUGCGUAGAGAUCCGGAAGAACACCGGUGGCGAAGGCGGUUAGCUGGGCAGUUGCUGACACUGAGGCGCGGACAGCGUGGGGAGCAAACAGG
rnacentral:rRNA from 1 species